rnacentral:rRNA from 1 species
CCUACGGGGUGCAGCAGUAGGGAAUCUUCCACAAUGGGCGAAAGCCUGAUGGAGCAACGCCGCGUGGGUGAAGAAGGUCUUCGGAUCGUAAAACCCUGUUGUUAGAGAAGAAAGUGCGUGAGAGUAACUGUUCACGUUUCGACGGUAUCUAACCAGAAAGCCACGGCUAACUACGUGCCAGCAGCCGCGGUAAUACGUAGGUGGAAAGCGUUAUCCGGAUUUAGUGGGCGUAAAGGGAACGCAGGCGGUCUUUUAAGUCUGAUGUGAAAGCCUUCGGCUUAACCGGAGUAGUGCAUUGGAAACUGGGAGACUUGAGUGCAGAAGAGGAGAGUGGAACUCCAUGUGUAGCCGUUA